rnacentral:misc_RNA from 1 species
GUUUGUCAUUUGAUAUUGAAAAUAUUUACAUGCUUGAAAAUAAAUAUUUGAAAGUUCAAUUGCAACUUUUUCAUAGAUUGAUUUGGCUACUGUUGACUUUGCCUCCACUGCAACAAUAGUGUGUGUGUGUUUUCCACCAUGAAAAUUGUAUUGAGAAAGACAUUGCUAGUUAAUUUGACGUUGAUUCAGUUAUAGAAUUGUGGAUUAUCAUACUUUUGUUUUCAAAGAAGUUGUGCUCUCAUGCGAAGUUGUGUUUUCUAUUUGUGGAUUGAAGUGAAUUAAAUUUCAAAGAAUUUUUGUUGAUUUUUUUUUUUUUUUUUUGAGGUAGACC